GGACAUCCAUGCUGAGUAGGGACAUAGACUAGUAGGAGGGGCAUGGGGUCCAGAGUGAUUGUCUUGGGUACCAAGUCUGCCUUUCUGUUCCACAGCUGGGCACCUCAGCUCUAUGGAGGAAGGAGGCCUGCAGAGAAUGGAGAAAAGAUACCAUUUGGAGUUACAAAGGGCUCUGGAGCACAGCAGGCUUGACCCUGGCAUUCAGUAGGUGCCCAACGUAACGAAGAUUUUCUACAUACCUGUUCACAGUGUUUGCAUAGUAUGGCCUUUCAGAGCAAGACAAAUUCACACUGGAAACCCAGCUCCACAAGACGUGACUUCAAGCAAGUGACCAUGUCUGAGCCUUGCUAUAAAACGAGACGGUAUGAUGCUA